AGAUCCUGCUUGCCAAACAGAACAUCUACCUCAGCCAGUUUCUCAACACCCUCACCUGUUCAGAUCUGCCUCUCUCCACAGCACACGAAUUGCUCUGCCUCACUCUCUCCCACGUGGCCACCCUGUAUUCAUUCACCAUAAUGGUGCCUUGUCCUCUGGAACCCUCCAGGCCUAGAAACACAGAGCACUUCCAGAAAUCACUACAGUUUUGGCAUGACUGACUGCUUUCAACUUUCAUCUGUUGGUUAACUUCCCUUAAAUAUCCUAAGAGACCAGGAAUGGAUUAAAACCCAUUUUGGAAAGGAGAACCAGGGAUGGAUGAAGGAGAAGGUACCAUAUAAUGCAACAGUAAAGACACCAGUCUCCAGGACUCCCUUCUCCCCAACCUGCUCCAUGCUGUGUCUCCUGGGAAGUCAGAGAUUACACACAUUACACAGUCCUUUUAAUAGUGCCCUUUGAGAGCAACAUGGGGACCUCCCCAACAUUCCCAACUGAGUGCAUACCCUUCUUUCCCUGGAACUUCUGAACAAGCACCAGGGCCAUUCUGUGAUCUAUAGAUAUUGCAGGGAGUGUUUGGUUUGCCUUUUUCUGUAUAUCCUUCAUGCAAAAUAAAGGGAUUUCAGCUGC